UAGAGUUUAGAGUAAUCGUUGCUGGCGUAAACGUGGUGUUUAGGCUGGGGUACUCAUUGAUAUUCCGUGACUAGCUGGACCGUGGUAGUAGUGAGGAACGUGACAAUUCCGAGUUACCUUUGUAGAUCACAUCUCGUUAGCAGGAAGGAUAGGGUUUAUAGGUGCGGGUUGAACAUCAUUUAUGGUGUCUAGAUUCCGUUAGCCUCCCUAUUAGAACAGUAGAUCAUCCUUACCAAGGUUAGAAGGAGACUACGGUUGCAGUCUUCUCUAUUUAUCACUCACAUCGAAAGACAUUCUUUGUGCCUAAAAGGUUAGUAGUAAUAGACCGGUUAGUCAGAUGCACUCUUUCUCCUAGUGUUAAAAAAAAUAAAUACGAUACUCUGGAUAAUUUCCCGGGUGAAGUGCUCACCGAUAUCCGUGCGCUUGCGGAUCAAUUCCUUAUUGCGUUCCCAAAUAUCAACAAUUAUCUAUACAUAUAUAUGUAUAAAUAAUUACAUUAUAAAAAAUAAAUAAUCAACAUAUAUAUAAAUCAUAUACAUUUUAAUUUUUGAGGGCAGUUAGUAUAUCAUAUGCAUUCAUAUAUAGUCCUUUAAGAGGUUUUCUAAACCCAGAGGUAAAAUAAACCUUGUAAGCAACUUGUCCCACAUUCUUAUGAUGUCAUUUUGGUCCACUUUUGCCCACUCCCUGAUGCCAAAUGGUGUCUAACUAAGAAUCUGAGUGCAUUACGCCACUUAGGUAUGGCCUCCGGAGGAGCUAGGGGCU
rnacentral:lncRNA from 1 species